GCCUGGAUCCCUUCCGGUUGCUCAAGUACAAUAUCAGCCGUGCUGAUGAAUUCACUGAUCAUGUUGGUUCCCUCUUGGUCUAUCGACACAAUGUUGCCCCAGGCAUGUUCUUGAUGUACAUUCAGGGAAAGCUGUUGUUUGCCAAUUAUGUGUUUAAUGGGUACAGCACAUCUGCUAAAGAUCUUCAGAAACAAAUUGUGAAGACCAGAAAUGAUUACCAGCUGGGUUACUAUCUACCUAAUGACUUCAGAUUUAGGAAUCAAAAGCCAAAGAAGACUGUUAAUGGACACUGG